GUUUUAUUUGCAGCCUUGCUGGGUGAAGAUUGUGUCUCUCUUGGAUGCUAAAGGAAAAGGACUGGUUAGGAGGACAUGGUGGUUAGGGGACCUCCUUGUAUGUCCUUUUUAGUAACUGGGCUCUCUCACAGAACCAGGCUGUGCUGGUUUUGGCUGGGGUAGAUUUACUUUUCUCCUCGGUAGCUGGCAUGAACUGUGUUUUGGAUUUGUGCUGGAAAUAGUGCUUGGAACACAGGGAUGUUUUUGUUAUUGCUGACAGGGCUUACACAGAGCCAAGGCCUUUUGUGCCUCUCCCCCCACCCCAGCAGUGGGGGCUGGGGGUGCACAAGGAGCUGGGAGGGGACACAGCCAGGACAGCCAACCCUAGUGACCCAAGGGACAUCCCACAACGUAUGGGGUCAUGCUCAGCACGUAAAGGGAAGAGGAGUGAUUGAGUGGCUUUGUGGGACUGAAGUGCUGGCUGGGAUUAAACCAUAACACAGAAUUACAAAUGCAGGACCACAACGGCUUUUCAUCAUGUCCCUUCCUACCAAAAUUCUCACAGACAUCUUGGGCAACAGUAAAAGCUGGGGGUGAGAUGGCAGGACCAGCUCUGAAAUCAGCAGUUCUUCUGAGACCUGUGUCUGCUCAUCUGCCUGCCUCAAUCCCAGCAAGCAUACAAAGGGCACUUUAAAUAUAACCUUGGCCUCUGGUACAGAAAUAAAUCACGAAACAUGACCCUCAUGCCAGUUAAAGAAGCAGCAUUGCAAUUCCUACUGCACUGAUUCAUAUUCGUGAGUAUUUCCCUUUCCUUCAAAAGCCACUGUGAGUGCCAGCUCCAUGAAGAAGAAGAGCACAAGGCACGAGUACCAGCCAAGUCCUGCUGAGACUGCAGCCUGUGGGUGACAGAUGAGAUCUUUGCUGUUGUGUCCUAUCUCUGGCCAGGGCUGUGGUUUCCCCCAUCAGCAGCACUCAUAGGGAUUGUCUGCACAGUGUCACAGGAGCCAAUAACUGGAAAGCACAUUUUAAGUUCCCUGCUUCAGUUUGGUUUCUGAGAGAAACCCACAGGGUGGCGACUGCAGGCAGGAAUAGCUCAGGUAUCUGGGUUCCCAGGAUAUCCCACUCUCAGCAAACUCUGCCAUGGCAAAACCUGUGCAUCAUGUCUCCAUCUGUACAUUGGAAAAAAGUUCCAGCAAAAAUGUGUGUUUUUCAGCUCCUUAACUGGGAGAGGGAUGAAGAUGGUAACAGUAAACUGAGAACUGCCUUCAAGGCUGUAACACUUGGUCUGCGUGGCUGAAGGAAUGGAACAGCUUGGAGGGUGCUUUCCUGCAGGGUGCCCCCAGUAAUUUUACCGGGACUUUGUUAACGUGGCACAAAACCCAGCGUGUUCCUCCUCAGAGAGCAGGAUGUACGCGUUUGUAUUUAUUUCCCAUAAGGAUGUACCUGUAGCGUACUUGAGCCAUGCGACCACCGUGAAACCUGUGCCUCAAGGCGCUUGGUUCCUUUCCCCUCCUCUCUGCGCCUACGGAGCUUUUCCUGCCGGGAGGGGGCCAUGAAACAGCGUCAGCUGUGAUUUAACCUCCCGCUGCCCGUGCCAGGUCUCCGCAGCGGCGCAGAUCUCCCAGCGGGAUGAGUGCGGGGCAGUCGGGAGGCCGUGGAGCGCCAGGAUCCGGGCAGCGCCGGGCGAUCCAGCGGCUCUGGAUCUCCCGCCCCGCGCCCCGCCGAGCGCUCGCCGGCGCCGCCUGCCGUGCGGAGCGCGGCACCGCAGCGGCGCCACAGCUGCACUGCGGCCUGGUGCCGGUCCCUGCGCCGGGAUUCGCACCCCGUCACGGAGUGCUGCGGCCCAGAAAGGGCCUUCAGGGGUUAAAGAUCAUCGAGUCCAGCCGCCAACCCAGCACUGCCGAGCCCACCACUAGGCCACGUCCCCAAGUGCCACAUCUAAACUGCGAAAGUAGAUGGGUUGUGUAUGGGUUAUGCAUGCUUCCAGGGAUGGUGACUCUGCCACUUAACCACACAGCCUGUUCCACAGCUUGAUAACAUAUUUUUCCUAAUUAUCCAAUCUCAGCCUCCCCUGGCUCAGCUUGAGGCAAUUUGCUCUUGUCCUGUCAUUUGCUACCUGGGAGAAGAGACCAACCCCUAUCUGGCUACAAUUUCCUCUCAGGUGGUUUCAGAGAGCACUAAGGGCUCUCCUGGGGCUCCUCUUCUGCAGACUAAACACCCUCAUCUCCCUUAUCAGAAUUCUGCUCCAGGCCCUUCCCAAAAUCCAUUUCCUUUCUCUGGGUUCACUCCAGCACUUCCGUGUCCCUCUUGUAGUGAGGGCUCCAGACCUGAGCACAGGAUUUGGGGUGCAGGCUCAGCAGUACCGAGUACAGGGAUGAUCACUGCCCUGGUCCUUCUGGCCACACCUGCUGAUGCAGGCCAGGGUGCCAUUGGCCUUCUUGGCCACCUGGGCUUUCACAGUUCUCCAGGUGCAGCACCAGCAGUGCUGAGCAAAGGGCUUCGUUAGGCUUUGGAACUUCUCCAAAUAAAGCUGGCUUCACCAGAGGCUACAAGCAGCAGAGGUGUUCCUGUCCACUGUCCCACCAGACUGGCCCAUGAAGGCUCCUGCUGACUGGCAGGAGACAAGAGUGAAGCUAAAUACAAUGAUCUAACUAAAGAGACCUCACCAUAUUUCAAUAUGCAUGAACUGAUGCAGAAAGGCUUCUCAACCCUGGGCUUACGUCUGUAGUAAUGGGAUAUCCUGACAAAAAAAUCAUAGAAAUAUUUUACAGGAAGUGCCAUCAAGAAGUCAUCUAGUUCACUUCCCUGCUAUAAAUAUUUUUAUAAAAUUUAUAUAAAAUGUUGUAUAAAAAGUGCAGUGAUUGUUGUAGAAAAUUCCUGCUGCUCUUGUAUUCUUUAUUUUACAUCAUGCUAACAGUACAUGGAUUUUUUUAUUCUGAUUUGACUGGCUAUCAGAAAACAUUUGUAAAUCUUUAUAUAUAUAUAACUACCAAUAUUCAAAAUAAGACAAUUUUUAACAAGAACCUGAAAUACCUCUCAUUACAAAAUAUCAUAUUAUACAUUUAUAAACUGCCUGUGCACAUAGAAAGAAACAACAAAAAUGUAGACUUCAGCCUGUAUUCCUUUAGAAAAAAACCCAAUUCUACCCUACAUUUAAUCAGGGUGUUCAUUGAUUCCAUCUUUAAAUCCUCAUAAUAAUGCAGAUCCUGAUUUGUCAAUGGACAUCCCCUUCAAGAAAGAAAUGCGUAUACAGGUACAUACAUGUCACACAAAUUGAAAAGAAAGACUGCCAGAAGUGAAACAGAAAUGAUUAAGUUUAAGUUAGGUUCAUUUCAUACGAGUAAGUUAAAGUGGUGAGUAGCCUUUCUGUAGAGUAAAACUCAGAUGGACAGUGCCCUGAGGAAAAUGGUCUAGGCUGGCCUGUUCAACUCUGAUUUCUGUAAAGAAUAUAGAAUUGUUAGUAAUUUAGGUUGGAAAGUUCAGCCAGGUUGUUCAGGGUUUUAUGCAUUCCAGUUUUUUAAAAAUUUCCACAGCUGUGGAUUUGACACCCUGUCUGGCAACGUGCAGCAGCAACACCCAACUCCAUCCCUGCAGAGCCACAAAACUUCUGUUUCUACUGCUCAGCCCAGCCCCACUUCCAGCCCCACACACUUCCUUGUCACAUUGGAACUGAGUGAGGAGUUUCCUGUUCAACCAGUCUGGCUGCCCUCUGUGUACAGCCAUUUUCCUGCAGUUCUGGGUGGAUGGUCCCUGUGUUUCAGGAGGCUGGCAUCCAAGACUGACCAGUCUCUGUGGCCCUUUGCCCUUCAGAGCAGCCUGCCAUGAAUCACAGAUCACUCUGUGAUUUGGGUUGGGAGGGCCCUUGAGGAUCAUCUCAUUCCAACCUGCCUGCCAUGUGCAGGGACACCUCCCACUAAACCAGGUUGCUCAAAGCCCCCUCCAGAAUGGCUUUGAACACUUCCAGGGAUGGGGUAUCCACAAAUUCUCAUGACAUCCUGUCUGCUGGCUACCAGAAGAAGCAGAAGUUCAGUUUCUAGUCUGCCACUACUGCUUCUACUCUCUGCAUCUGGUACUACUCUCUCUCUCCACUUCUGAGAAAAAAAAUGUAUUAAGGGAAGAGCCAGUAAAGCACAAAUCAUUCAAAACCGCACAAUUUUUAAAGUUUUAAAAAUAGCUGCUGCAUAGUAUCACAUCCUGCUGUUUUCAGAUCAUAAAGGUGACAUAAGCCUACUCCUUGUUUUGUCAAGUGUCAGUUUCCUUCAGAGGGAGAAAAAGGUGAUGAAGCAGCUGCCACCUUAUGUCUGUGAUUGUGACAAGGGUGCUUAUGACCUGGGAAAGAGGAAAAAGUGGCCAGCCAGAUUCUCCA